CUCUAACUGCUACUGUUGGAUCAUCUGUAGAUCCUGAGAAUGGCUUCGUAUCAGUUAAAACUGGGGACAGUUUGACUUUGAAAUGUUUCUAUGAAGGUGCUGUUGCUGCAAGGAUUUACUGGUAUAAGCAAACUCUGGGGCACAAACCAAGCCUCAUCUCUACUUUCUAUAUGUAUGACAAAAAAACAUAUUUCUAUAAUAAAUUCAGCAAUAGUUCCCGCUUCUCACUGGAUACGAUAAAUGGCAAGAACCACUUGACUAUCACAGAUAUGCGCAUUUCAGACUCAGCUACUUAUUACUGCAUAAGUUGCUAUUUAUACACGUUAAACAUUUCGGAGAGCACUUUAGUCACUGUAAUGGAUUCAAGUUUGAACGCUUUGGUCCAUCAGUCAGCAUCUGAGACCAUCCAGCCAGGAGGCUCUGUGACUCUGAACUGUACAGUUCAAACUGGGAGCUGUGAUGGAGAACACAGUGUUCACUGGUUCAAAUACUCUGAAGAAUCUCAUCCAGGACUCAUUUACAGCCAUGGAGGCAGGAAUGAUCAGUGUGAGAGGAACACCAACACACAAACACACACCUGUUUCUACAACCUGCCGAUGAAGAGCCUGAAUCUUUCU